UACCUAUAACUGUUGCUUCGGCGGGUAGGGUCUCCGCGACCCUCCCGGCCUCCCGCCUCCGGGCGGGUCGGCGCCCGCCGGAGGAUAACCAAACUCUGAUUUAACGACGUUUCUUCUGAGUGGUACAAGCAAAUAAUCAAAACUUUUAACAACGGAUCUCUUGGUUCUGGCAUCGAUGAAGAACGCAGCGAAAUGCGAUAAGUAAUGUGAAUUGCAGAAUUCAGUGAAUCAUCGAAUCUUUGAACGCACAUUGCGCCCGCCAGCAUUCUGGCGGGCAUGCCUGUUCGAGCGUCAUUUCAACCCUCAAGCUCUGCUUGGUGUUGGGGCCCUACAGCUGAUGUAGGCCCUCAAAGGUAGUGGCGGACCCUCUCGGAGCCUCCUUUGCGUAGUAACUUUACGUCUCGCACUGGGAUCCGGAGGGACUCUUGCCGUANAACCCCCAAUUUUCCAAAGGUUGACCUCGGAUCAGGUAGGAAUACCCGCUGAACUUAAGCAUAUC
rnacentral:rRNA from 1 species